CGGAAGUGCGGCUUAUACUCAGUGCGGCUUAUAAUCGUGAAAUUACUGUACUCAUUCCUAUAAGCACUGAGCAGAAGUACUUUGGACAGAGAUUAGAAUUUCUUCAUCAAAACCUCUCUGAAGUAUGCCAUGGCAUUCCAUGUCAAAGCAUGCUCCUUUUUGACCUCAUGGUUUAUACACUACAACUCACAGUACAGCCUUUGCUGAUCUUGCUUUGUGAAAAGGCUCCAUCUCCUGUAAGGACACCAGGGAAACCCACAGAAAAAGAGCUGCCUUAAACACAAUCCUUCACAACUGUGCAGUUCCCUUGCUCGCCUUCUGCUUGUUUGACCUCUGAGCAAAACACAUCCCUAAGGCAAAUGUUCCUCUCAUGCUGGCUUUACAGCCCUGACCAGCCUUGGUUCCCAUCUCCCCGAGGCCUCACCAGCUUUGACUCAGCAGUAAGCCAUAACAGAGGACAGACCUGCUGCCUCAUAAACCAGCAAAUGUACACACCUGCCUGCACACAGCACUGCUGGCACUGUGGGGCCUGCACACCCCUGUGCCCGUGCCAGUGACAUGCUGGGAGUCACACAGCCAGCACAGCAUGGUGCUAGGAUGAGAAUUCAGAGCUCCUGUCUCAUCCUCUGACGUUUAAACUACUCCCUGCUAGUGAGCAGACUAGAGUUUAUCAGACCUUUUUUGGGAAAACAACUGCUGGUCUGGAGAAUUAUUCCUGCCAGGGCAACAAACUGAAAAAACUCCCUCUCAGGUACAGUUACCACAAUCUUCAGAACAGGAAUUACUACCAGAUUUUAUCUGCAAACAAUGCAUUGUGAAGCUGUUUUUUUAAUGUUUGGAGAAGACAAUUUACGCUCAUAAGUCAAUCAAUCGCUGAAGGAGAGAUCAGGAUUUACCACAGAGCUGUCAAGCCAGAAUCCAUGAAUACAUGGAUUUUCUUUUAUCGAGUCACAAAGCAACCAGCCCUCUAGCAGUGUCUCGACUGAAAAAUCAGGCUCCUGGCUCACUCCAAAUGUAACCUCCCACACGUAAAGGCACAUCCCGCUGGCAGAGCCUGCCAAUGGACUUCCGUUCCCUUUGCCAGGUCGGCAAGGCAUUCCCCGUGGCACCACCAGUGGCAUCCCAGAGACCCUGCCAACAGCUCGUUAGUGACCCCAAAACACAGACACAGGAACUUGCAGCAGCAGCUGAAGCAAAAGCUCCUUCUCUGCUCCUGUAACUGAGCUUUCCAAGCUCCCCAUUUCUCAGGGAAAACACUCAUGCCUGCAUGUCUGCCAGGCUCAGAGCAAACAGCUCUUUCCCAGCAGCUGAACGCAGGGGAAGGGGAAGCCCUAGGGCUGCAGAGAUUAUGCUGGAGGUUACAGUUCUUUUUAGCAAGAGGAAACACAGGUUGUCUGUUGUGCUUGCAAUUUUCAAGGUUAACCCUUCAGACAGCUUUAUCCCUUCACCUUCCUGCAUUUCCUAGCUAGUUAGAGAGGUAAUUUGUACCUUUCUGUUUCAUGAUUCACAGCAAUUAGUAGAAUAAUAAUAGAAAUUUAAAAGGAUAAAUGUGACCAAAUGUGAUUAUUCUUUUCAACAGCUGUGGAGCACUCAAGAGAAAUGCCAGCCAAUACUGUUCCCUUAGCUUGUCCCUAAUGUUGGUACUCAACAACAAAAAACUAAAAAAACCCCAAACAAACAGUAGGUAUUUGUCUCCAAAUAUCUUCUGUCCCCCAUUACUCAUUAUGCCAAACUGUGUUUUCCAUUUCAAUUAACAGAAUCCCUAAGAUUCAGUCAAAUUAGCGUUAUUUCUAUAAAUACACAUGAGCACUCCCAAAAACAUCAAAGACGGGUAUGUGAAAUUACUCUGCAUUAUAAUGCACUAAGCACAGCUAUGAGAAUUUUAAAAUAUCAAUUGCAACAAAGGUUUAGCCUCUAGGCAAAGGUCCUUAAAUUAGCAGCUUCAAUGCUGAAUGCCAAGUGGGCAAAAGAAGUAGGGCAUCGCUGCUGAACGGGGAUCCUGCACCUGCCCACACACUGGGAAUGGAACGGGAUGCAUUACGAACCCAAACACAAACGAGCCCUAAGCAUUUCUGAAACAGUUUUCACUAGGGAAUUGCGUGUGCUUCGCAUUUCUGUGUAUCACGUUCACUUUAACUCACGGACUGCAAAGCAGCGAGGAAGAGCUCAGCCAGCGGCAGGGGAUGGGUGCUCACCUCGAGCUGCAGCACAGGCAGAACACACACAGCAGCACGCCUGAAGUCCUGGGCUGCCAACUUACUUUCCCGUUUCCCUCCCUCAUUUCCCUGCCAAGGUUACUCUCCUAGCUGUCACAGAAGAUGUACAUGAUCUUUCUUCUACUGUUUUAUGUCCACUUAUUAAACACCCUCCUUCCUACCAGGGGGAACCCAGAAAGAAAGCUGGAUACCCUCUGCCCCGAGCGCUUGCCAGUUCCCACCGAAAUGAAACAAAGCCCUUCACCAAGGCGAGGCAAUGAAGACAAAACCAGGUCCCUUCACAAAAGAGACUCCUGAAAGGGAGUUCAGUCGUUACACAAGCGAUUUGCUGCUUUUAAGAGCGAAAGGCUUCAAAAAAAGGCAACUCCACGUGAAGAAGCCGGCUCUGGCUUAGUUCAUUAGCGCCAAGUAAAAAACUGUGAAGGAUGGCGACUCCCGAUGCGAGUUUGCCCUACAGGGAGAGGGAUGCAGCCUGAAAAAACAAACCAAAGAGCACUUUUCAACCCAGUUUUAACAAAAACACGUGAUCCCUUACAUAAAUCUUAAACUUGCCUCGCUCGGCAGCAAAGUGAGAAAACAGCAGUAAAAAGUUGGGGGAGUAUAGAGAGGAGCGACAAGAAACUUAAAAUCGAGAGAGCGGUGGUCACACAGAGGCAGCCCCGGGGAGCCCAGGUGCGGGAUGGGCGCUGCAAGAUCUCCGGGCGUGGAGCGGGCUUGACUCCCCCUGCCCGGAGUUUUUGGAGCUCUGGUGAUGAGAAAUGGAUGAGGUGGGAAAUGGAUGUACAAAUAACCUACAGACACAGGUGUGGAUGGAAAUCAACACUCUCACCAAACAUCUGCUGACAGCAAACACGCCUGAAACCUGUGCCAGUGACCUUCGUGCUGGAACUGAGCCACAUUCCAGGUGACAUCUCACAACUACAGCAUUUGUUCAAGUGGCAAAGACCUACUUGAGGCUUUAUUGACAGAAUGAAUAGUUUUGGCAUAACCAGGCACGGACUUAAACCAGCACUGCCAGAUGCAAGCAUGAUUCUUCUUGACAAGCAUGAUUCUCCCUACCUGAAGACUAAAUCAGUGCUGCAUGAAUCUGUUAUCUUCUGUCUCACUGUUCAACACCGGAUCUGGGCUGACAGUGGAAACACUGAGACAGCUUGCAAUCACCAUGGAUGUCCCUGGAGCCUUCCAGCUUGUCAAGCACAGCACACUGCUCUGUGCUUGAGAGCAUAUGGCCAACAAAACAAAGAGCUUGCAGCUGGAAUUUGAAUGUAGCACAAACUGAACUGCUUUAAAAAUCAAGGUAUGUCACUAGGAAGAAACAAAUUGUAAAGAUGCCAGACACAAAAGGAAAUGUAGACAACCACUGGUCUCAAGCCAGGAGCAAUUGUCUAAACUUCCCAUGAUGAUAAUCCAGCCAUCUCCUGAUGCAGUACCUAGCUGUGCAGAUGUACCUGUGGAAAACAAGUCAUCAACUUCCUCCUCCUCAAAAAGUUCUGAUUUUGAAAACUUGUAGUAAGCCGACUGUCACUCUGAAAUAUGAUCAACAAAUUCCCCACAGGAUCAUCACAGAAGGCGUGGGGGAAUAUUUUUCAUGAAAAGCUGGGAUGAAAUACAGCAUCAGAGAUAUUUUCUGUAGGUUGCUGAUAGGCUCAUACACUCACUUCCCUGGUGGUUUUGUUUGCCUUUGUGCUUGCAGUUGAUGCAUGAGUGCAGGAUAAGUGGGAGUAAUACUUUAGUCAGGAUGCAGGAAUGCUCAUUGGAUGAAA